rnacentral:lncRNA from 1 species
AACUAAUAAGUGAAUUUAGAAAGGCUUCAGUAUACAAGGUUACUAUUUAAAAACCAGUACUAUUUUCAUGCAUUAUCAAUAAAUAUUUAGAAAUUAAAAUUUAAAAGUCUGGUUGCAAUAGAACCAAAACCAUGAAAUACUUAUGAAUAACUUUAACAAAAAACAUUCAAGAUCAGUAUGCAGAAACUAAAAAGCACCCAUGAAAUAAAUCAAAGAUUUAAAUAAGAGAUAUGUCAUGUUCAUAUAUUGGAAGACUAUUGUUAAUUACCAGUUCUUUCCAAACUUAUCUAUAGAUUAAUUUAAAUUCCAACCAAAGUCCCAGCAGGAUUUCUAUUUAAAGAAAUCAACAUAGUGAUUCUCCAGGUGAUCCCAUUUUGUAGCUAGAGUUCCAAACUGCUGCACCAGACUAAAUUUCUUGUGGCCUGGGACCAUCUAAUUUGUUGCUACAUUUCUAGGAUUUGGUACCUGGUUGGCAUUCAGCAUAUGUUUAAUAGAAACAAUAGAUGAGUGAAGGAAUGCAGAAAAGAGGAAGAGGAUCUGGCCAAAACAGGAUCUGAACAUGUUGAAUUUGAGAUGCUGUGAUACAUCCAUGAGAUGCCAUUAUGUCCGGAAUUGGUGGGUUCUUGGUCUUGCUGACUUCAAGAAUGAAGCUGGGACGUUGUGUGUCUUCUUGUCGGCUAGCUAAAUAACUCUAGUUCCUUCAACUGAUCAUUGCAGAACAAGAAGUAAAAUCUUCAUAAUCCCUGUCUCUAUGAACGUGCUUGAGUUUCUCUAUGUCACUCUAGGAAAUUAACUCAAUAAUCCAGGUAUGAACCAUUAAUUGCUGAACAGAGCACACUUCCCUUGUUCUAAAUCCUUACUACAAUUGUCCUGUGAUCCAGUAGAAUUACCCAGGAAGUUGUUGGAAAUGAAAACUUCACACCCUUACUCCAGGUCUACUGAAUUGGAAUUUGUAUUUUAGUGAAAUUCCAGGUGACUCAUACGAACUCAUAUUAACUUCUUCAAACACUGUUCUAGAAAAGUGGUUCUCUAAGUUGACAGCACAUUUGAAUCACCUGGGGAGUUUUAAAAAGUACUGAUGUCUGGGUCUCUGAGAGAUGAAAUUAGGAUAUGGUCUGGG